rnacentral:rRNA from 1 species
AGCCUGAUGCAGCGACGCCGCGUGAGGGAUGACGGCCUUCGGGUUGUAAACCUCUUUCAGCAGGGAAGAAGCCACAAGUGACGGUACCUGCAGAAGAAGCGCCGGCUAACUACGUGCCAGCAGCCGCGGUAAUACGUAGGGCGCAAGCGUUGUCCGGAAUUAUUGGGCGUAAAGAGCUCGUAGGCGGUUUGUCGCGUCUGCUGUGAAAGCCCGGGGCUCAACCCCGGGUCUGCAGUGGGUACGGGCAGACUAGAGUGCAGUAGGGGAGACUGGAAUUCCUGGUGUAGCGGUGAAAUGCGCAGAUAUCAGGAGGAACACCGAUGGCGAAGGCAGGUCUCUGGGCUGUUACUGACGCUGAGGAGCGAAAGCAUGGGGAGCGAACAGGAUUAGAUACCCUGGUAGUCCAUGCCGUAAACGUUGGGCACUAGGUGUGGGGGACAUUCCACGUUCUCCGCGCCGUAGCUAACGCAUUAAGUGCCCCGCCUGGGGAGUACGGCCGCAAGGCUAAAACUCAAAG